UCUAAGUCACUUACAGGUUUGUCUGCGGGUGACCUGAGAGGAGGACCUUACUGCCUGCUCUAGGCAGGUUUCAGACGCUUGGAGCAAAACCUCAGGCUUUCACCAGACUUCCUGUGUUGUUUCCAGUCUGCGAUUCUGCCUCACUUCAGUAGCCAUUAAGUGGUGUGACAGGGAUAUAGUUUGCUCAACAUUGGUCACAUCGGACAGACUGCUUGGCCUCUUCUUUCCAAGAGAAGCUAAAAGUAAAGGGCAUGACCCAAAUACCCUGUGCACGGAAGGAACAUAUACUGUGUUCAGUUUUGCUUCUGUCGCACUCUGGUGGAAUGUGUGCAUGACAGAGAUGGUGAAAUCAGACGUGUCUGUCUAUCCGUCAUGUCCUCUCUCGCUCUGUGUCCCAGCCUCCCUUCUCUUCGUUUUGCCAAACUGUGAUAAAUUUAGAAAGGAAGCCAUGCUACAAUGAUAACUACACCAGAAGGAGCCAAUCUUACCCACGGCUGCUGCAGGUCUUCAUGAAGGUUUUCACUGAGACCCCAGAUUUUCUGUGUGUGCUAACACACCUAGCAGAACCUGAAUAUUCAUUUUCUGUAGACCCGGUUCCUGUGUAAUCCAUACUCUGCUUUUUCUGCCCACCGCAGAGACUAGCAGCUGGAGCCCGGAUGGAUGUGCUAUACUCAGAAGCCUGUGGCUGACAAAAAUGUUUACGUAUGUUGUCUAGCUUUUUAAUAAACUUUUUAAAAACAG
rnacentral:lncRNA from 1 species